ACAAAUGACACCAUGUCUUUGAACACUGUGUUGAACAACCAGAAUGGUGCUGAAAAAUAGAAUUUAGAGAUUGGAACCAUCUACAGCCAUCUAGUCCAAAGCUCCACAAGUCCUUGAGGCUCUGUUCAGUCUAGCAAGAUAAAAGGCUUUUGGACAAUAGCUACUUCAUACCCUUGAAUACCACUGAAGAGAGCUGUGGCCCCCAGGUCCACUCCCACUGGCAAAGGUCGAGUGGGAAGCCUGGACUUCCAAAUUUACCGGGCUGUAAUGAAGAAUCCUAACUACCUGCUGUACCCGCCUUCCCACCUGCGAUUACUGAAUGGGCUCCCCGACUUUCAUGCUUGAUGGGCAGUAACAGAGCCCCACCCCUAGCUGCAGAGUCGGAGAAGACUGCCUGAGGAGCCAUGACUUCCAUUUUCACCCAAGCUGUCCUGAGUCACCACACCUCCUGCUGGAGAAGCUAGGAGAGUCGGGACUUCUAGCACCGCCUGGUGGUGAUGAGCUCAUCCCCACUCCGGUGGCAGCAGUGGACAGAGCAGUAACAAGGCAUUCCUCCUCCUCCAAGCCAGGGUGCUAGCACCGCAACCUAGAGGGCAGCUGGAAUUCCCACUCCCACAAAUACUGCCACCAACGCUA